rnacentral:rRNA from 1 species
CGAAAGGCGUAGUCGAUGGGAAACGGGUUAAUAUUCCCGUACUUCUUACAAUUGCGAUGGGGGGACGGAGAAGGCUAGGUGGGCCUGGCGACGGUUGUCCAGGUUCAAGUGCGUAGGCUUAAGAGUUAGGUAAAUCCGGCUCUUUUUAAGGCUGAGACACGACGUCGAGCACCUACGGGUGUGAAGUCAUUGAUGCCAUGCUUCCAGGAAAAGCCUCUAAGCUUCAGAUUGUAAGGAAUCGUACCCCAAACCGACACAGGUGGUCGGGUAGAGAAUACCAAGGCGCUUGA